rnacentral:tRNA from 1 species
GGGGGUACAGCUAAGUGGUAGAGGGCAUGCUUGGCAUGCUUAGCGUCCACGAGGUCCUGGGUUCAAUCCCCAGUACCUCCA